AACGUUCACUCCGUUUCCAGGCGGAGCGCAGUCCGACUCAGGCCAUGGAACGGGGACCUGA
rnacentral:ncRNA from 1 species